AUGCAGGGAAGAGGAGAAGAGGAGCAGAGACGGGAAGGGGAUGGCGGCAGCGCGAGCAGUCGAUUCCCCCUACUGGCUGCACAUGGAGCUACCACCUGGAACACACUGUGCCCUCAACACUUUCUCUGAACAAACUACACUGAUUUAACUUCAAAACCAGGAAAGGUGGAUGAACCAAUUUCAGUGUGCAGCUUUUUAGAAUAUGCGGUGAUGGGGGUGUUCUUGUCUGAAUCUGUGGAACUGACGUCAUAGAGCGGUGAUACGCAGCCAGCUUUUUAAUGGAAAGAGAGAAAGAGAUAUUCAAAAACCAGCACUGAGAAAUACUACUAUCUCUGCAGCCAGGUUUGUCAAACAUUUUCAUAAAACAGAGCCAGAGCCAUCUGCUGCUCUUCUGUUCUGAGGUCCUCUUCUGAUGCUCGUUGAUUCACUUUCUAAAUUGAGAACAUGAGUGAGUCAUCAACAGGACUUUAAAAUAGAAGAAGAGGAAGACAGCUGAGGGUGUAUCAUGCCCCUGAAGGUGUUAAGUACUUGAAAUUCCCCUCUAAAGAAUGAAAGCAAGUCUAGUAAUACAAAACUUCAGCGUGAUCACAGCAUGGCCUCCGGUAAGAGCCAGAGAAGUUCAAGAGACAGUGUUAGGGUUUUUUUUUUUUAAUUUAGCCUUAAUUCAACCAGGUCAGUGGAAUUCUCACUUGGCAAGUUAGCUCAGCAGCACAGUAAAAGCAAUUUUUUCGUAAGAUAUUUCAAUUAUAUCAAUGUCCACAGUGAUAUUAGUGUCCUGAGGAGGCACUGAAAGGGCUGCCCUUUUAUUGACUAGCUGCCCUGACAACACCAGUGAUUCUGCUAAAUGUCUUAAAUCUCUAUUUACAAGGAAGAUGGAAAAAAGCAAAAACAAAACACAAAAAACUGAAAGAGAACUAUAAGUUGCCCUCUAAAGACAAAAACACUAAAGAGUUACACAAUGUUCCCCUCAAAAUUGAAUUCCUAGAAAGUCCACAACCAUCUCGCCCCACUGCCCGACCCCUCCCCAAGGGCAACUACAGUACUUCUCCGAGCUGCUGCAGAGACCAAGAGGCUUUGUUUCCUGUGGUUUGUUGGACAGUAAUGACGUGGGUGUUUCCCAGAAAUGACCAGAUGUGUGGAAUUCGAGGGAAGGCUGGCGCAGCGCCAGGGGAGGGGUGGUGGGAAAGGAGGGCUGGAAGAACAGAGGAAGGGAGGGAAGGAGGGAAGUGGAGUUGGGGAACAGCAGGGCCUUUUGCUUUUGGCAGUGGUUCUACUGGGAGAUACCCAAGCACCAAAAGAUCAUCUUACAUGUUUAAUGCAGACCUAGUGAUGUAGCCCUACUAACCAGCUUCCCUGGGGCUUUUUGUUCAUGAUAAAGUGAAAGAUGAACUUACCAGUCAAACUAUGACAUGGUUGAUGUGCAUAUGUUGUUUGAACACAGACACAACCAUUUAUCAAAGCUCUUGGAUUGUGCCCGGGUUCUUACAGCAGAGAUCAUCUGAAUAUAGUUUACAAUAAUCCUAGAAAACAUGACUGAAUGUUGAUGAAUCCAAUCAGGAACAGUGACAGAUGCUGCUUGCCUACAAGUUUUCUUCAUACCACAGAAGAGGAUCACCUGGUACUUGGUGUAGAUGACGAAAUUUGUAUAAAUCUGUAGCAUUUAUACAAACUGCUAUAAAAAGAUUUUUUUCAUUAAAGCAGAAUCUUUUUUUAGUUAAAUAUAAAGGCAUGCUGAGACAGACUGAUGCCAAAUUCAUGAUCAACAGUAAAAAAGAGAGAUAAUUUAAUAACUGCAAAUAUGUCAGUUUAUGAGGUCUACAAGAAAACCACAGAUUUUGGCAGUUUUACUAGAAUUGAAAGGAAAAGCAGCACAAACCACAGAAAGAAAGAGGGUGGAUAACCUCUGAUGUGGCUCUAGAGUACAGAAUGAGCUUCAAUUUGUCUUCAUAGUGUUUCAUGAAUUUCGUUCCCAUGUUGUGAUAACUAAUUCGAUUAUGUGUUUAACAACAUCUGAAAUCCAUCAGCUUGUUAAAUCAUCUGAUUUUCAAACAGUCAAAAUUAUAAUACAUGUGCAAAAAAAGGCAGUCUUGAUUUUAAAUGAUAGAGUUGGUCUCCAAUCAGACAAAUGAGCUGAAAGUAAAGUUUUAUUAUUGUGUUUGUACACUGUCGAGCUCAAGCCAAAUUGCCCAGUAAUGUAAGUGGCAUCCUUUCAAGCCUUCCUCCUCAAACACUGUGAUCUGAGAAGCUGACCAGACUUACUGAAGUACAGGAAGCACACACACAAAACAGGCACAUGCUAAAACGCCCACCUCCCCGUGAGGAGGUAUCUUAAUAUUAUGUGCGUAAGUUCAGUGCAUCUCUGACACAUACAGUUCCCUGAUACAUUCUUAUCAGUGCAUUAACGGAUGACAGCCUGAGGUAAUUCAACACAUCUCCCUCUGAGAGUAUAAUUUUACACAGCGCAAAGAGCAGAGUGAUAUAGUCAAGAUAUCAUUGCAGGGUACUUCUCUUUAUUUUUAUUUCUUUCUAUAUGAUAGUCACAUAUCUUGGUUUAGGCUGUUUAUCUAAUACUACCAUAAUAAUGUGAAGAGGGCAGACUGACUCCGGACCACCAGCCCCGCACUGAGACAUUUGAUAAACACCAGGCAGAUCUCCAGUGAGUCAUUAGCUUCUAUCACAACACAGAGGAGAGCAACGCAGGCCUAAUGGGGAGGAAAUAUGAGACCAGGCGUGCAUGAGUAAAAAUGACGCACAGCACCCCUCACUACACCCAACAAGGGACUGGCAAUAGACCUAAAAGAGUUAAUUGCAUACACUUACUAUAUCUCUACUCCAAAUGUGAAAUGUACAAACAGCCGUCCAACUCGUUUCCUGAUUAACGUGAUUCCGAGAAAAGAUCGAAGUUGUUGUAAAUGAUUUUGUACUGGGGCGCACAGGGAGGGCACAUCUGUGUGUAUUUGAGUGUGAGAUUAAGCAUUUUGCCUAUAUACAUGCACAAAUGCGUGUAUCUGCAUCUGUGUAUUUUGGUCAAGAAACUACAUUUAAAGUCACGUGGACUACAGCUGUGACAGUUCUGUGUGCAUGCUAGCAUGAGCACCAGUGAGUGUACUGUAUGUGUGUGUGUGUGUGUGUGUGUGUGUGUGUGUGUGCGUGUUUUUUCUCUGCAACAGAAAGCCAGCCAUGUCCUUUUGUGAACCAGCUAUACUCCCACUGCCAGGGACAGCAUAAAUGAGGAAGAGAUGAUGCCAAGAAAAUCUCUGCAUAACAAGAAAUUAAGUGCUGCACAGGCAGAGAGAGAGUGAGUUUAAACAAUAGAUAUUUUCCAUGUGGACCUGCUAAGCCAAAAUAUUCAAAAUCCACAUUCUUUAGAAGAAGAAGAAAUAGUCAGCAGAGCCCACAGAAAAAGGCACAAAUUAAUCAGAACUCACCGAUUCCACGAAAGGGCUAUCAAAGCUUCAUCAGAGCACUCAGAGUCUAUGAGGUGCAUCUUGUUUUAUUCAUUGUGGCAAUGCCCUGAACAGAUCCAAGUGCAAAGUCAUUCAUUAUUGUCAGUUUGUGUUUCUUUUUUCUGCCUAGUUGAGUGUGCUUAUGCAUUAGAAAAUAAGAGGAAGUGCAAAAUUUUGGAGGUCUAAAAUAAAACUACAUAAACAAGAAGAUGCUGGCCAAUUUACUGUGAGUGUGAGUGUGUGUGAUUCCUGGUGUUCACGGGCAAGCGUGUCAGUGGCACACAGGUAGAAGAGUGAAAUAGUGAAGUAAUAAGAGAAAGGUGCUGUAGGUUCUGCCCACAGCAGAUAGAGAAUGGACACUGGGUAAAGAGUUAUAGCUAUCC